rnacentral:sRNA from 1 species
UAAUUUGAGAUAUUAAUCAACUGGGAUG